rnacentral:rRNA from 1 species
CCUACGGGAGGCAGCAGUGAGGAAUAUUGGUCAAUGGACGAGAGUCUGAACCAGCCAAGUAGCGUGAAGGAUGACUGCCCUAUGGGUUGUAAACUUCUUUUAUAUGGGAAUAAAACAGGGUAUGCAUACCAUCUUGUAUGUACCAUAUGAAUAAGGAUCGGCUAACUCCGUGCCAGCAGCCGCGGUUAUACGGAGGAUCCGAGCGUUAUCCGGAUUUAUUGGGUUUAAAGGGAGCGUAGGUGGAUUGUUAAGUCAGGUGUGAAAGUUUGGGGCUCAACUGUAAAAUUACAGUUGAAACUGGCAGUCUUGAGUACAGUAGAGGUGGGCGGAAUUCGUGGUGUAGCGGUGAAAUGCUUAGAUAUCACGAAGAACUCCGAUUGCGAAGGCAGCUCACUGGACUGCAACUGACGCUGAGGCUCGAAAGUGUGGGGAUCAAACAGGAUUAGAUACCCCAGUAGUC